CUGAAUUAGUGUGACUGAACAAAUGAAUGAACUGAGUAAAUGAAUAGGGCGGGUUUUGAGGAGGUAGUCAGACCCUAACUGAUUCUGCCCAACUACCCCCUUCAUUUAUGCUUAGAUUUCAGAGUUUGAUACAUAGUUUACAUGGGUGUUUUUAUGUCUCAUAGGCACCUAUAAAAAUAAUGAUUGUCAUUCAUUUAAUUUCCCAAGUAAUCAAGAACCACAAGUCCUUUUGCAUCAAAUCCUUAUUGAAGAAUGUCUUUAUGAUAACAGGUAGAAGAAGUUCAUUAUGAUGUCCAGAUCAUUAUGCAGUCUAUACAAUAUUAACUCUUCAAUAGCUAUGAAGGUGCUUAA
rnacentral:lncRNA from 1 species